UAACAGGAGAGGUGAUUCAGUGGCCUCUACAUCAAAGAAGCAAAAAGGUGGGAAAUUAACUCAAGUGGGCAUGUUCCUCAAAAGACUUUGGCCAGGCACGUCAUCAAAGAAAGAUGGUCAGAACACAGGAACAGCGACAGAAAAGCAAAGUGGGAUUGAGA